GGCUUUAUAUUCAAUAAUGAUUUCGGAUUGCAAAUUCGAGGGAAAGAGAUUACUCUUUAAGGCUU
rnacentral:tRNA from 1 species